AGUAGCUCAGUUGGUAGAGCAUUCGGCUGUUAACCGAAUGGUCACAGGUUCAAGUCCUGUCU
rnacentral:tRNA from 1 species